rnacentral:lncRNA from 1 species
UCUUGUUCUCAAUCAUUGAUAUCAUGUCCUCUCUUCAAUACAAUUUUUUUUUUGCGACAAAUUUUUAAUUGUUGUUGUGUUGACUUUGUAGGUUAUGCAUGCUAUCAUGAAAACAAAAGAUAUUACAUAUAUUGUAUUUGAGGAUGGAAUGAUAGUUUUACGAGAUGAAUUCAUGAUGAACUACAAAUUUGACAUUAGUUGUAUUUAAGAAAAUGUUAAAGGUUCUUGAGAGGUUUGUUUCUUAUGUGUUCGUAUUAUCACAGUUAGGAUGUUACGUUAUGCCUUUGUCUCAUGUCUUUAAGUGUAUUUAGAUUAGCCUAUUUGUGGUUACACAUAAUAUAGUUCUUCAUUUAAGUGUUGUAGGUGUUCUAAAAUGGACAUGUUAUCAUAUUGGUUGCACCUUGUGUUUUAAAUCAAGCUUGUGUUGAGAAUAAUUUUCUUUUCUUGUAUGCCUCUUAUGUUUUGUUCGCAUGAUUGUACAAGCUUAUGUUUCGGUCUAUAAAGGUUAUUUAGACUGAAAGCUUGUGUUCUGGUUAAUCGAGCCGUGUGGUUCACAUGUUUAAUCAGUUGUAUUGUCAAGAUUAUUCUUGAAUCUCAUUUUACAGCCUUGUAUGUCUUCUCUUGUGAGAGUUGUGGUUUUCUCUGAUUGCAAAGUGUAUAUUUUGUGAUAAUCAAGAGUUGUUAUGGUUGUAAAUUUGUUAUCUGAUUUGAGUCAUGUGACUAUGUUAUCAGAUUUGUAUUUGUAUCUGAUUUUUUUGAACAAUCAUGUAUUCCUUUGGUUUUUGGAAUCGCCGUGUGAUUGUUUUUUUGUAAAGGAUUCUAAAUGUUUUGAGUCUGACCGUAGUGAGGUUUGUGUAGGUUCACCGUGUUGGUGACCUUAUUUGUUUCUUA